rnacentral:rRNA from 1 species
CCUACGGGAGGCAGCAGUGAGGAAUAUUGGUCAAUGGAGGCAACUCUGAACCAGCCAUGCCGCGUGAAGGAUGACGGCCCUAUGGGUUGUAAACUUCUUUUAUAUGGGAAGAAACUUAUCUACGUGUAGAUAACUGACGGUACCAUACGAGUAAGGAUCGGCUAACUCCGUGCCAGCAGCCGCGGUAAUACGGAGGAUCCAAGCGUUAUCCGGAUUCAUUGGGUUUAAAGGGUCCGUAGGCGGAUUUUUAAGUCAGUGGUGAAAGCCGACAGCUCAACUGUCGAACUGCCAUUGAUACUGGAGAUCUUGAGUACAAAUGAAGUAGGCGGAAUGAGUCAUGUAGCGGUGAAAUGCAUAGAUAUGACUCAGAACACCAAUUGCGAAGGCAGCUUACUAACAUGUAACUGACGCUGAGGGACGAAAGCGUGGGGAGCGAACAGGAUUAGAUACCCUGGUAGUCCACGCCGUAAACGAUCAUCACUCGCUGUUGGCGAUAUACAGUCAGCGGCCAAGCGAAAGUAUUAAGUGAUGCACCUGGGGAGUACGCCGGUCAAACGGUGAAACCUCAAAGGAAU